AUCAAAACGGGGUUAACCUUGCCCCAGUCCACUUCUUCUCGUCACUCUCCCCUCUCAAGUCUGAAACUAGUCAUCGUCGUCUACUCGUCGCUCCCAUUACCGAUUAACCAGAAAUACCACAACGUUGUCACUCUCAAUCGUCAUCCGCCGAACAUCAAAUGCCAUUCGUUGUCACUCUCAUCAAUCUCUGGUCAGUCGGUACUCAUAUUUGUUCAGUAGGCUCAAUCGAAGUUUCAAACCCGCUCAAUCCAAAGAAAAAAGGCUUCGCGAGGAAGAAGCCCCAAAUGUUAAAUGUGUGGUGGAUGUUACAUAACCAGAAGUCGAAGCCGAAGAAGAAGCCCUGAUUAUCGAAAAGAAUGCAUCAGAAGAGGAAGAUAUGAAGAUGAAAAGAGUAGAAGUUGAAUUCGAUCUCCCAUCAGAAGCCGAUCUCCAAUCAGAAGCGUUUCCCUUACCCUAAAUAGUGUGAGUCCUCGAAGGAGUAGGAGUGCAUCUCUAAGAAGGACACUUUUAAGGAGCAGAAGUCCAGCAAGGCGUAUUCAGAAAGAUCGGUCACCUCUUCCAAAAAGUUCUGAUGCUAAUGAAUGAGAGUUGGAGACGCUUGGAUGAACAUGAAAUGAAAGCAGUGUUCUGCUAUGUUGUUGACACGUCAUGCCUGCUGAACAAAAGUCCUAAAAGUUUUAAGGUUCUAUAAUUAAAAUAAAUGCACAUAUGCUCCCCUAAAAAUCGGUAAUUUGAUGCUAGUAAAAUGCUGAUAUAUACAGUACUGAGUUUGACACAUUGUGCUAUCUCAUUUUACUCUUUCAUUUUACCAUUUAGUUGUUUACUGACAUUGUUUUUUGUUUAAAUUUUAUGAUUAUCAGCUGGAAAGUCUUUAGUUAUGAUUGAUUAUAUGACUUUGAUUUAUUUUGGCAAUAUUUUUUUAUGAUUGCAGCAAAGUUUGUUCCGGUUGGGUAUGUGAUCAAGAAGCUUCAGAUCAUGAUGACUAUUGUUGAUAAUUUUGUUUCUGUAUCAACGCUUAUUAAAGCUUCAAAUCUUUUUCGUUAUUCCAGAAGUUAUAUGAUUGAUUAGUUUGCUAAUGUGACUGGUUUUGUGAUUGCAAAGUUAGAUGAUGUUGUUGUUGCUGUUUUGUGAUUUUAUUUAUUUAUUUUUUUGCUCUUUUGAGACUUUAUGUUUUGUUGUUUUGUAGUUUGUUGUGGACUUGUUAAAUUCCAUUUGUUGCUGUUUUCCUGUUU